GACGUGGCGGGGGAGUGGUGCAAGCUGGGAAGGAGGGCAGCACAGAUGCAUAAUGAACAAAUGUCCCCGUUUAUUUCCAAAGACAGGCUCUGAGUUCUGUGGACGCUAGAGAUAGUGGAGAAAGACUUACUUUGAGCAAUUAACUAUAUACUGGCACUGCUUUUCAGACCUAACACAGAGAGCUAAGAGGUUUAGCAGAAGGUGUUCAAGAGCCAGCCAAGAAGAGAAGACGAGGAUGGACAGACCAAGAAGAGCCUCAGAAGGCAAAGACUUGAGAGGCAGGUACCCACAGUCAGCCGCUUCCCAAAAGCAGAUGAUCCUCCUUCUGGCACACAGUCAAGAGGUCACUAGUAGCCUAACGCUGUGUCCGAUGCCUACGUCAUUCCCCUAACUUAUCAUCCUGGAGGCAUUUUAUCAUCACACAUCAUCCCAAGAAGAAGGUUACUGAAGAGACUGGAACAUUUGUCUUACAGGAGUUCCCAUAAUCUGGCUUUGAAUUACUGCUUCUUCAUGGGGUCGUAUUUCUCAGUCCCCUGUAUUCCUAUGAAAUCAUCAUCACCAUCAUCACCCUCACAUUACUCUCAAAUCAUCGCAAUGUUGUUGGAAAGCCAUUUGAGGCUGCAGUUUUUUCACCUACAACUUAAACAGAGCUGAUUGGUACUCUGUCAUAUACUGAAGACCAAGACGUAAAGAGCGUAGAAAGAACCUUCAGAGAUCACACCGCAAGUGAGUAACAGCACCCUACCUUGAACCCCGCUCUGCCUGAUCACUAUACCAUGCUAUUGACCAAAGCUCCAGAAAGUUCCAGAAAAGAGGACAGGCCACAGCUGUGGGGAUCCCCACACGGCACUUCUGGAGGCAGUAGCAUUGUGUGUUAACAACUAAUCUUUAUUAAAUGCUUGUUAGAUG